UUAAGUUAAUAAGGGCGCACGGUGGAUGCCUUGGCACUAGGAGCCGACGAAGGACGCGACAAACGACGAUAUGCCUUGGGUAGCUGUAAGUAAGCGAUGAUCCAGGGAUUUCCGAAUGGGGGAACCCAACAGGUAAUACCUGUUACCUACAUCUGUUAAGGAUGUGAGGAGGAAGACGCAGUGAACUGAAACAUCUAAGUAGCUGCAGGAAGAGAAAGCAAAAGCGAUUGCCUUAGUAGCGGCGAGCGAAACGGCAGAAGGGCAAACCGAAGAGUUUACUCUUCGGGGUUGUAGGACUGCAAUGUGGACUCAAAGAUUAUAGAAGAAUGAUUUGGGAAGAUCAGCCAAAGAGAGUAAUAGCCUCGUAUUUAAAAUAGUCUUUGUACUUAGCAGUAUCCUGAGUACGGCGGGACACGUGAAAUCCCGUCGGAAUCUGGGAGGACCAUCUCCCAACCCUAAAUACUCCCUAGUGACCGAUAGUGAACCAGUACCGUGAGGGAAAGGUGAAAAGCACCCCGGGAGGGGAGUGAAAUAGAACCUGAAACCGUGUGCCUACAACAAGUUCGAGCCCGUUAAUGGGUGAGAGCGUGCCUUUUGUAGAAUGAACCGGCGAGUUACGUUAUGAUGCGAGGUUAAGUUGAAGAGACGGAGCCGUAGGGAAACCGAGUCUGAAUAGGGCGCCUUAGUAUCAUGACGUAGACCCGAAACCAUGUGACCUACCCAUGAGCAGGUUGAAGGUGCGGUAAGACGCACUGGAGGACCGAACCAGGGCACGUUGAAAAGUGCUUGGAUGACUUGUGGGUAGCGGAGAAAUUCCAAACGAACUUGGAGAUAGCUGGUUCUCUCCGAAAUAGCUUUAGGGCUAGCGUCGACAUUAGAGAUUCUUGGAGGUAGAGCACUGUUUGGGUGAGGGGUCCAUCCCGGAUUACCAAUCUCAGAUAAACUCCGAAUGCCAAUGAAUUAUGGUCGGCAGUCAGACUGCGAGUGCUAAGAUCCGUAGUCGAAAGGGAAACAGCCCAGACCACCAGCUAAGGUCCCAAAAUAAUUGUUAAGUGGAAAAGGAUGUGGGGGUUGCACAGACAACUAGGAUGUUAGCUUAGAAGCAGCUAUUCAUUCAAAGAGUGCGUAAUAGCUCACUAGUCGAGUGACCCCUGCCGCCGAAAAUGUACCGGGGCUAAAACAAUUUACCGAAGCUGUGGAUACCUUUAUAGGUAUGGUAGGAGAGCGUUCUAUGUGUGAUGAAGGUAUACCGUGAGGAGUGCUGGAACGCAUAGAAGUGAGAAUGCCGGUAUGAGUAGCGAAAGACAGGUGAGAAUCCUGUCCACCGUAAGACUAAGGUUUCCAGGGGAAGGCUCGUCCGCCCUGGGUUAGUCGGGACCUAAGGAGAGACCGAAAGGUGUAUCCGAUGGACAACAGGUUGAUAUUCCUGUACUAGAGUAUGUAGUGAUGGAGGGACGCAGUAGGCUAACUAAAGCAGACGAUUGGAAGAGUCUGUCUAAGCAGUGAGGUGUGAAUUGAGUCAAAUGCAUAAUUCUAUAACAUUGAGCUGUGAUGGGGAGCGAAGUUUAGUAGCGAAGUUAGUGACGUCACACUGCCAAGAAAAGCUUCUAGCGUUUAAACAUACUCUACCCGUACCGCAAACCGACACAGGUAGUCGAGGCGAGUAGCCUCAGGUGAGCGAGAGAACUCUCGUUAAGGAACUCGGCAAAAUGACCCCGUAACUUCGGGAGAAGGGGUGCUGACUUAAAGUCAGCCGCAGUGAAUAGGCCCAAGCAACUGUUUAUCAAAAACACAGCUCUCUGCUAAAUCGUAAGAUGAUGUAUAGGGGGUGACGCCUGCCCGGUGCUGGAAGGUUAAGAGGAGUGCUUAGCGUAAGCGAAGGUAUGAAUUGAAGCCCCAGUAAACGGCGGCCGUAACUAUAACGGUCCUAAGGUAGCGAAAUUCCUUGUCGGGUAAGUUCCGACCCGCACGAAAGGCGUAAUGAUUUGGGCACUGUCUCAACGAGAGACUCGGUGAAAUUUUAGUACCUGUGAAGAUGCAGGUUACCCGCGACAGGACGGAAAGACCCCAUGGAGCUUUACUGCAGUUUGAUAUUGAGUGUCUGUACCACAUGUACAGGAUAGGUAGGAGUCUAAGAGAUCGGGACGCCAGUUUCGAAGGAGACGCUGUUGGGAUACUACCCUUGUGUUAUGGCCACUCUAACCCAGAUAGGUGAUCCCUAUCGGAGACAGUGUCUGACGGGCAGUUUGACUGGGGCGGUCGCCUCCUAAAAGGUAACGGAGGCGCCCAAAGGUUCCCUCAGAAUGGUUGGAAAUCAUUCGCAGAGUGUAAAGGUAUAAGGGAGCUUGACUGCGAGAGCUACAACUCGAGCAGGGACGAAAGUCGGGCUUAGUGAUCCGGUGGUUCCGUAUGGAAGGGCCAUCGCUCAACGGAUAAAAGCUACCCUGGGGAUAACAGGCUUAUCUCCCCCAAGAGUUCACAUCGACGGGGAGGUUUGGCACCUCGAUGUCGGCUCGUCGCAUCCUGGGGCUGUAGUCGGUCCCAAGGGUUGGGCUGUUCGCCCAUUAAAGCGGCACGCGAGCUGGGUUCAGAACGUCGUGAGACAGUUCGGUCCCUAUCCGUCGCGGGCGUAGGAAAUUUGAGAGGAUCUGCUCCUAGUACGAGAGGACCAGAGUGGACUUACCGCUGGUGUACCAGUUGUCUUGCCAAAGGCAUCGCUGGGUAGCUAUGUAGGGAAGGGAUAAACGCUGAAAGCAUCUAAGUGUGAAACCCACCUCAAGAUGAGAUUUCCCAUGAUUAUAUAUCAGUAAGAGCCCUGAGAGAUGAUCAGGUAGAUAGGUUAGAAGUGGAAGUGUGGCGACACAUGUAGCGGACUAAUACUAAUAGCUCGAGGACUUAUCCAA
rnacentral:rRNA from 1 species